rnacentral:rRNA from 1 species
GACGAACGCUGGCGGCGUGCUUAACACAUGCAAGUCGAACGCAGUGGCGCACGGGUGAGUAACGCGUAAUCCACCUGCCCUUCAGAGGGGUACAACAGUUGGACACGACUGCUAAUACCGCAUACUGAAGGAGGGGAUUGCGUCUGAUUGGCUAGUUGGCGGGGUAACGGCCCACCAAGGCGAUGAUCAGUAGCCGGUCUGAGAGGAUGAACGGCAACAUUGGGACUGAGACACGGCCCAGACUCCUACGGGAGGCAGCAGUGGGGAAUCUUCCGCAAUGGACGAAAGUCUGACGGAGCAACGCCGCGUGAGUGAUGACGGCCUUCGGGUUGUAAAGCUCUGUUAAUAGGGAAGCGGUACCGGAAGAGAAAGCCACGGCUAACUACGUGCCAGCAGCCGCGGUAAUAC